AAACUUAAGAGUUUGAUCCUGGCUCAGAACGAACGCUGGCGGCAGGCCUAACACAUGCAAGUCGAACGCGUCCGCAAGGACGAGUGGCGCACGGGUGAGUAACGCGUGGAUACCUACCCCAGAGCGCGGAAUAACCCAGGGAAACCUCGGCUAAUACCGCAUAUCACCUCACGAGGGAAAGACUCCCAUGUCGCUCCGGGACGGGUCCGCGUCGGAUUAGGCAGUUGGUGCAGGUAACGGCUCACCAAACCGACAAUCCGUAGCUGGUUCGAGAGGACGACCAGCCACACUGGGACUGAGACACGGCCCAGACUCCUACGGGAGGCAGCAGUGAGGAAUCUUGGACAAUGGACGAAAGUCUGAUCCAGCCAUGUCGCGUGAGUGAAGAAGGCCCUAGGGUUGUAAAGCUCUUUCAGCGGGGAUGAUCAUGACAGUACCCGCACAAGAAGCCCCGGCUAACUUCGUGCCAGCAGCCGCGGUAAUACGAAGGGGGCUAGCGUUGUUCGGAUUUACUGGGCGUAAAGGGCGCGUAGGCGGUCGGCAAAGUGAAGGGUGAAAUCCUCGGGCCCAACCCGAGAACCGCCCUCCAAACUCGCCGACUCGAGUCCGGAAAAUGACGGCGGAACUCCCAGUGGAGAGGUGGAAUUCGUAGAGAUUGGGAAGAACACCAGUAGCGAAAGCGGCCGCCAGGUCCGAGACUGACGCUGAGGCGCGAAAGCGUGGGUAGCAAACAGGAUUAGAUACCCUGGUAGUCCACGCCGUAAACGAUGUGUGCCAGCUGUCGGGACGCCUCGCGUCUCGGCGGCGCAGCUAACGCCUUGAGCACACCGCCUGGGGAGUACGGCCGCAAGGCUAAAACUCAAAGGAAUUGACGGGGGCC
rnacentral:rRNA from 1 species